rnacentral:rRNA from 1 species
GGAGUCUGGGCCGUGUCUCAGUCCCAAUGUGGCCGUCCGCCCUCUCAGGCCGGCUACCGAUCGUCGCUUUGGUGGGCCGUUACCCCGCCAACUGGCUAAUCGGACGCGGACCCAUCCCUCCCCGGAUCUCUCCUUUCCUCUGCUCCCCAUGCGGGAUUCAGAGCUUAUGCGGUAUUAGCAGCCGUUUCCGGCUGUUGUCCCCCAGGCAGGGGCAGGUUGUCCACGCGUUACUCACCCGUCCGCCACUAGGCAAGCACAAGAUUGGCCGAAGCUUCUCAGCGCACUUGCCCCGUUCGACUUGCAUGUGUUAGGCACGCCGCCAGCGUUCAUC